CCUACGGGAGGCUGCAGUAGGGAAUAUUGCACAAUGGGGGAAACCCUGAUGCAGCGACGCCGCGUGAGUGAAGAAGUAUUUCGUUAUGUAAAGCUCUAUCAGCAGGGAAGAUAAUGACGGUACCUAAGGAAGAAGCACCGGCUAACUACAUGCCAGCAGCCGCGGUAAUACGGAGGGGGCAAGCGUUACGCGGAUUGACUGGGUGUAAAGGGAGCGUAGGCGGGAGUAUAAGUCUGGUGUGAAAUCCGGGGGCUUAACCCCAGAACUGCUUUUGAAACUGUAAGGCUGGAGUGCAGGAGAGGUAGGUGGAAUUCCUAGUGUAGGGGUGAAAUGCGUAGAGAUUAAGAGGAAUACUAGUGGCGAAGGCGAGUUGCUGGAAAAUUACUGACGCUGAUGCACGAAGGCGAGGGGAGCGAAAGGGAUUAGAUACCCUUGUAGUC
rnacentral:rRNA from 1 species